rnacentral:rRNA from 1 species
GACGAACGCUGGCGGCGUGCUUAACACAUGCAAGUCGAACGGCAAGGCCCUGAUUUCGUGGGGUGCUCGAGUGGCGAACGGGUGAGUAACACGUGAGUAACCUGCUCUUGACUUUGGGAUAACUUCAGGAAACUGGGGUUAAUAUCGGAUAGGAGCCCCCGUAGCAUGGUGGGGGUUGGAAAGUUUCGGCGGUAGUGGAUGGAUUCGCGGCUUAUCAGCUUGUUGGUGGGGUAGUGGCUUACCAAGGCUUUGACGGGUAGCCGGCCUGAGAGGGUGACCGGCCACAUUAGUACUGAGAUACGGCCCAGACUCCUACAGUAGACAACGGGGGGGAGUAUUGCACAGUGGGCGGGAGCCUGAUGCAGCAGCGCCGCGUGCGGAAUGACGGCCUUCGGGUAGUGAACCGCAUUCGCCUGUGACGAAGCGUGAGUGACGGUAAUGAGUAAAGAAGCACCGGCUAACUACGUG